UUCCGUAAUAAGCAUUGAUCCGGAGAUUUCUGAAUGAGGAAACUCACCUGGGUUCAUACUCAGGUACGUUAUACUGAACUUCAAAAUAGGUAUAUCGAGGGAACCGCCUGAACUGAAACAUCUAAGUAGGGCGAGGAAGAGACAUCAAACGAGAUUCCGUAAGUAGUGGCGAGCGAACGCGGAAGAGGGCAAACCGAGAGUAGAAAUACUUUCGGGGUACGGACUGCUUUUAGGACUUAAUCUGUUAACCGAACGGCAUGGGAAGGCCGGUCAGAGAGUGUGAGAACCACGUAGGUGAAAACGACAAGAGCCGAGCGAAUUCCAGAGUACGGCCAGACACGUGAAACCUGGUCGGAAUACGGGGGGACCACCCUCCAACCCUAAAUACUACCCAGUGACCGAUAGCGUAUAGUACUGUGAAGGAAAGGUGAAAAGGACCCCGGGAGGGGAGUGAAAUAGAACCUGAAACCUUGUGCCUACAAGCACAUAGAGCACAUCAAUGUGUGAUAUGGUACUUUUUGUAGAACGGUCCGGCGAGCGAUUGUAUGUUGCGAGCUUAAGGUCUUAAGGACUGGAGGCGUAGCGAGAGCGAGUCUGAACAGGGCGUUCAGUAACAUGCAAUGGGCCCGAAACCGGGUGACCUACCCAUGAUCAGGCUGAAGUGAAAGUAAAAUUUCAUGGAGGGCCGAACCGACCUCCGUUGAAAAGGCGGCGGAUGAAUUGUGGGUAGCGGAGAAAUUCCAAUCGAACUCGGAGAUAGCUGGUUCUCCCCGAAAUAGCUUUAGGGCUAGCCUCAUAUUAGAUACCCGGAGGUAAAGCACUGAAUGGCCUAGCGCCCGAGAGGGUAGCGAAGCCUAUCAAACUAAGAAUGCCGGAGUAUUGAUGUAUGGGAGUCAGACAGUGUGAGAUAAAUCUCAUUGUCAAAAGGGAAACAGCCCAGAUCUACAGCUAAGGUCCCAAAUUGUAUCUAAGUGGAAAACGAUGUGGAAAUACGCAGACAACCAGGAUGUUGGCUCAGAAGCAGCCACUCAUUUAAAGAGUGCGUAAUAGCUCACUGGUCGAGCGUCUCUGCGCGGAAAAUUUAACGGGGCUAAGAUACAAACCGAAGCUUAGGCUGCACGUAAGUGCGGGGUAGGGGAGCGUUGUGUAAGCGGAGAAACAGUAGCGUAAGCGGCUGUGGAGUUUACAGAAGUGAGAAUGCCGGAAUGAGUAGCGCGAAUGUGGUGAGAAUCCACAUGGCCGGAAACCUCAGGUUUUUGGAGGAAGGUUCGUCCGCUCCAAGUUAGGCGGGAGCUAAGGUCAGGCCGAAAGGCGUAGCCGAUGCACAGACGGUAGAGAUUCCGUCCCCACCGAAAGAUUUAAGCACAGGGACACUUUUUGAAGGUCGGAGCCAGGUGUUGGUUCUGGUAGUGAUCGAGGGAAAUAUAGUACCGAAGUCCGGCUGGAAGAGAGGCGAGAAAAGCUGUGUGUAUAUCUAAGGUGCCCGUACCGCAAACCGACACAGGUAGGUAGGAAGAAGAUUCUAAGGCCAACGGGAGAAGGGUUGUUAAGGAACUCGGCAAGUUGACCCCGUAACUUCGGAAUAAGGGGUGCUCACGAGAGUGAGCCGCAGAGAAUAGGCCCAGGCAACUGUUUACCAAAAACACAGGUUUGUGCUAAAUCGAAAGAUGACGUAUACGAGCUGACGCCUGCCCGGUGCUGGAAGGUUAAAAGGAGAUGUGCAAGCAUUGAAUUGAAGCCCCAGUGAACGGCGGCCGUAACUAUAACGGUCCUAAGGUAGCGAAAUUCCUUGUCAGGUAAG
rnacentral:rRNA from 1 species